UGAUCCACCUUCUCCAAGGUGGAUCCAAGAGCUCUUGAUUAGCGAUGAGCUGAUCUCGGGGCCUGUCAGAUUGACACUCGCCGCAGCCUUUCUACUUCCUUCAAUUGGAUGGUGUCUAAACUCCUUCAAGCAUGCUCAAGAUCUAUCCAACUCCUCUGGGCAUGAAGGAUAAAAUCAGCCUAACACUUUAGGCAUGAGUAAGUGAGAGGGAAGUG
rnacentral:lncRNA from 1 species